rnacentral:rRNA from 1 species
GGGUGAGUAACGCGUAGAUAAUCUGCCCUAGUGUACGGGACAACAUCGGGAAACUGGUGCUAAUACCGAAUACGCUUCACACAUCGCAAGGUGAGUGAAGGAAAGAUGGCCUCUCCUUGGAAGCUAUUGCACAUGGAUGAGUCUGCGUACCAUUAGCUAGUUGGUAGGGUAAAGGCCUACCAAGGCUCCGAUGGUUAGCGGGUCUGAGAGGAUGAUCCGCCACACUGGCACUGAAACACGGGCCAGACUCC